rnacentral:rRNA from 1 species
ACACAUGCAAGUCGAACGCUGAAGCCUAGCUUUUGUUGGGUGGAUGAGUGGCGAACGGGUGAGUAACACGUGAGUAACCUGCCCCCUUCUUUGGGAUAACGCCCGGAAACGGGUGCUAAUACUGGAUAUUCACUGAUCUUCGCAUGGGGGUUGGUGGAAAGGUUUUUUCUGGUGGGGGAUGGGCUCGCGGCCUAUCAGCUUGUUGGUGGGGUGAUGGCCUACCAAGGCUUUGACGGGUAGCCGGCCUGAGAGGGUGACCGGUCACAUUGGGACUGAGAUACGGCCCAGACUCCUACGGGAGGCAGCAGUGGGGAAUAUUGCACAAUGGGCGAAAGCCUGAUGCAGCGACGCCGCGUGAGGGAUGGAGGCCUUCGGGUUGUAAACCUCUUUCGCUCAUGGUCAAGCCGCAACAUUGGUUGUGGUGAGGGUAGUGGGUAAAGAAGCGCCGGCUAACUACGUGCCAGCAGCCGCGGUAAUACGUAGGGCGCGAGCGUUGUCCGGAAUUAUUGGGCGUAAAGGGCUUGUAGGCGGUUGGUCGCGUCUGCCGUGAAAUCCUCUGGCUUAACUGGGGGCGUGCGGUGGGUACGGGCUGACUUGAGUGCGGUAGGGG